UCCAUGUCUACUGGUGGGAACACCAUCCGUACUGGGUAGAGGAGGAGGUGGGGAGUUUUCUGCUCCAUGUCUACUGGUGGGAACACCAUCCGUACUGGGUAGAGGAGGAGGUGGGGAGUUUUCUGCUCCAUGUCUACUGGUGGGAACACCAUCCGUACUGGGUAGAGGAGGAGGUGGGGAGUUUUCUGCUCCAUGUCUACUGGUGGGAA